GCUGAAAAAACGGUUCUCGUUAGAUCACCGAAGUCAAGCAUCAUUGGGCGCGGUCAGUACUUGGGUGGGUGACCACCGGGGAACACCGCGUGCCGUU
rnacentral:rRNA from 1 species